GCAGNNNNCGAUGAAGNNUAGCUUGCUAGGUGGANNAGUGGCGCACGGGUGAGUAAUAUAUAGAUAACGUGCCUCUUAGUCUGGGAUAGCCAUUGGAAACGAUGAUUAAUACUAGAUACUCCUUCUGAUUCUAAUUUCAGUCGGGAAAGUUUUUCGCUAAGAGAUCGGUCUAUAUCCCAUCAGUUAGUUGGUAAGGUAACGGCUUACCAAGACAAUGACGGGUAGCGGGUUUGAGAGGAUGAUCCGCCACACUGGUACUGAGACACGGACCAGACUCCUACGGGAGGCAGCAGUGAGGAAUAUUGCACAAUGGAGGAAACUCUGAUGCAGCAACGCCGCGUGGAGGAUGACGCAUUUCGGUGUGUAAACUCCUUUUAUAUGUCAAGAAAAUGACGGUAGCAUAUGAAUAAGCACCGGCUAACUCCGUGCCAGCAGCCGCGGUAAUACGGAGGGUGCAAGCGUUAUUCGGAAUCACUGGGCGUAAAGGACGCGUAGGCGGGAAGCCAAGUCUGAUGUGAAAUCCUAUGGCUUAACCAUAGAACUGCAUUGGAAACUGGUUACCUAGAGUAUGGGAGGGGGAGAUGGAAUUAGUGGUGUAGGGGUAAAAUCCGUAGAUAUCACUAGGAAUACCGAAAAGCGAAGGCGAUCUCCUGGAACAAUACUGACGCUAGGGCGUGAAAGCGUGGGGAGC
rnacentral:rRNA from 1 species